rnacentral:rRNA from 1 species
GGAGGGUGCAAGCGUUAAUCGGAAUUACUGGGCGUAAAGCGCACGCAGGCGGUCUGUUAAGUCAGAUGUGAAAUCCCCGGGCUUAACCUGGGAACUGCAUUUGAAACUGGCAGGCUUGAGUCUCGUAGAGGGGGGUAGAAUUCCAGGUGUAGCGGUGAAAUGCGUAGAGAUCUGGAGGAAUACCGGUGGCGAAGGCGGCCCCCUGGACGAAGACUGACGCUCAGGUGCGAAAGCGUGGGGAGCAAACAGGAUUAGAUACCCUGGUAGUCCACGCCGUAAACGAUGUCGACUUGGAGGUUGUUCCCUUGAGGAGUGGCUUCCGGAGCUAACGCGUUAAGUCGACCGCCUGGGGAGUACGGCCGCAAGGUUAAAACUCAAAUGAAUUGACGGGGGCCCGCACAAGCGGUGGAGCAUGUGGUUUAAUUCGAUGCAACGCGAAGAACCUUACCUACUCUUGACAUCCAGAGAACUUAGCAGAGAUGCUUUGGUGCCUUCGGGAACUCUGAGACAGGUGC